UUCGGAGGAAGCUCAUUUCCGCCGCUUGUAUCCAUGAUCUCGUUCUUUCGGUCACUACCCACAGCUCAUGACCAUAGGUGAGGGAGAUUAACCAGUAAAUUGAGCGUUGCUUUUACACUCAGCUCUCUCUUCACCACAACGGACUGGUACAGCGUCCAUAUCACUGCAGCCACAGCACCAAUCCGUCUGUCGAUCUCCGUGUCCCUUCUCCCGUCACUCGUUAACCCAUAUAGACACACAAUACGGUAAUAUUAUGUUGAAGCACGGUACAUAUUACUCUGCGAGGCUCCUGACUAUGGUAGCCGUAAUGCUCCAACAAUCCAUCAAAACAUUUUGGCAGAUCUUUGAGAGCCAUGUACCACAUAAAAUCAAUUCGCGGUCAGUAAGCACAACCAGAAUUCAUACAUAAAGCACACUUUUGAGAAAAUUAAAGGAUUUUAAGUGUGCCUCAUAGUCCGAAAAAUACAUUACUGAAAAAGUUCUUGUGCUUAAAGUGCUUCACUGAGCUGAAAUUUAAAAUUAAAAUAUCUCAAGAUAUAUAAAAUAAAAAGAAUGUCAAAAUUAAAAGUGCCUCAAAGGCUUCGAACUGAACAUCUCAAUAUCUGAACAUCUUACCUUGGGCAUGGGGAUCUGAGAGGUUCUGCCCUUGACUAUCUCUGAUUGGUUUAGACCAUAAUGUGUGUCUGGGCAUAAUGUGUGUCUGUUGUUGACCACACAGAGACUUUCAGAGUUCGACCGGUGCGACCUAGGAUUUUUUUGGCAGAACAUUAGCAAAUUGGCGGAAUGUGCAGAUGUCGCCGUGCGCUAUUGGGUUAUUGUGGGAAUUCCCAACUUUAUUUCCCUUUUUUGCGCGAUCAGCUCCCGAUCAUCAAUCUUAUAGUUGCAAGGAAAUCAAACCUGUUUGAAAUCCUGUCGCCCCUUGUGAGAGUAUCAACACAACCUCUCACACUGUGCACGUGCAAACACGGAAAUGGAAGUGAAAAAGUCAGAGUAGCAUGGCAGUGCAGCGUGUGAUCUGGGCACAAGCGAUGGAUGCCCAGCUUGUAUAACUUUGGCAAGCUCAUCCGAGGCUUUUCGAUGUGACCUCACAAAAUUAUCAUGACCACCACAACCACGAAAACAGUUGGAUGGACAUUGCUGCUCAAUUGCAGCUGCCUGGUCAAUGUUUUUACAUUAGCAAUUUAGCAAAGUUGAUGGUGGCGGUGUGUGUGUCUGUGCGAGUGAAAGACCAAGAGGGAGAGAGAGGGAGAGAGAGAGACAGAUUUUGUGUUAUCAGCUUCAUGUUAUAGAUGCAGGUCGCAUCAGAGCAUUGGGCCGUAUAGUGUGAGACCAUGCAUCAUGACCUAUGAACUUCUAACUCCUGCGAUUCAGUCGCACAGUUUGAGCAGGAGUUAAAUGACGCAACUGAAAAAAUCGCACACUGUAUGCCCAGCUUGAGCAGCACCUUCAUGAUUGGUUUAGGCCAUGAUAUGGGCAUAAUGUUGUCUGCUGUUGGCCACACAGAGACUUUCAGAGUUGCUGAGACUUUUUUUUUUUCUUUUUUACUCGAACGGCUGGUCACACCGAUGCAACCUAAGAUUUGUUUUUAGUCGCACCAUUGAGAAAUUAGGUCGCAUUUGCGACCAAAUUGGUUGCCCUCUAGAGCCCUGUAAGGGUCUUCUGAAUCGCUCUUUCUCUGGUCCCUCACCCAGGACCAAUUUGCCAUGGCAGAAGCCCCCGGACAACAUAGCCCCUGGGAUCACUGGGAAACACAAACCCCUCCACCACGAUAAGGUAGCCAUUUGCGGAUUAAAUAGCAAAGCCCAAUAUUUAUGUACUGAAACCAACUACUUCCGUUUGGCAGCUUAAGUUACAAUGUAUGUUUAAUUUUUCCACUGAUUAACUUUUUAGUACUGACUCUGUAUUUUUUUUUUUUUACUGAGUUUGUUGCAAAAAUUCAGGUUAAAAAACUGUCUGAAUUAUUAUUAAUGAGGUAUUUACACAAAGUCACAUGUGCAGUACUCUGUACAGCUUACAUCCUUUAAGGGAAAUAAUUCGAAGCAUUAUUAUUUCUUGUUCAAUACCCAGACAGCAGCUCAAACACUGCUGAUAAUACCCCCGUAUGUUGGUGACCAGAAUGCAGCAGCAGACUGGACCAGGACUGAAACCUGGUCCAUCAUCUCAUCUUUGCAGAUCUCCAUUUAAAAAGCACAAACAACUCAAGGAAGCUGCCCUCAGAUUGAGACCUCAGCAUCACCCAGUGGCAACAGACAAA